CUGAACAGUGAAUGAUACGUGAUCAAAACAACACAGUAAACCUUGGCACUCCCUUGCUAGCAAGAACCAAUAUAGUCUUUAAAGAAUAAAGGAGAGGUGAUAAGAUUAGGAUUUUGGAAUACCACCAAUGUUCAGAUGCCUCGGGUAAGUAAGGGGAACCCAUUUGAGAAGACACUCAAAAGAAGAAAAAAGGACCAAGAGAAGAUCUCCACUGGAUGUGGAAGGAGAAAACCAAACAGUAGCUCCCAAAAGGAGAAAAGAAGCUGGAGACUGGAACUCAGUAGCAGAGAAAGUUGGCUCAACUCGCUUUGUUUUGUGAAUUCUGAGCAAACUGAAACCAUUGGCUUAGAUACCCUCUUUGCAUCUAAAUGUGCGCUGCACUUUGGUUUCCAAAUUCUAACUGAUGAUCUCAAGCCCAAUACCCUUUCUUUCUUUUUAAGU